GAUCAUGGCUCAGAUUGAACGCUGGCGGCAGGCUUAACACAUGCAAGUCGAACGGUAACAUGAAGAAGCUUGCUUCUUUGAUGACGAGUGGCGGACGGGUGAGUAAUGCUUGGGAAUCUAGCUUAUGGAGGGGGAUAACUACGGGAAACUGUAGCUAAUACCGCGUAGUAUCGAGAGAUGAAAGUGUGGGACCUUCGGGCCACAUUCACUAGGAGUGAGCCCAACGUAGGGAGUUAGGUUAGG
rnacentral:rRNA from 1 species